GCACGGGCAGGGGCGGGCCCGGGGACUUGUUUGGCGCUCGGCGGGGAGGCGGGCGGCGCCGAGAAAUAAGGCCCGGAGGGCCCCGGCGCGCUUGCGCGGGGCGGGGGCGGGGCCCGCCAGGACCAUGCGACACGCCUGCUGGGUGCGGCACCCUGCGUGGGUCGUCCCAGGGGAACGUGAGCCGGGGAAGGAUGCGUUGGGAGACUUGUUUAAGGGUGGGGGAAAAUGCGUGAACAGGUGACGGACCGUGGAUGCAGGUCGCCUGUCAUCUGGAGGUGCGAAGAGCGCGCCCCCCCAGAGCCCGCACAGCCUGCGCCGAGAGAGCGGCCGCCUCCGGGUGCUUCCGAUCUGUUAGUUCGAGUCCUGCUGUUGUCACGUUUCAUUUCCUAUGGGACGCUCUCCUUUCUGAAUCUGCACAGGGCCACGCAGUUCUUGGGAGUGGUUGACCCGGCCGCGCAGUCCAGUGCUGCAGCCACAGGCCACAUGUGGUCAUUUAAGUUAAAGGUCCGUUUCUCAGUUAUCACUGAGCUAUAAAAAACACCCAGAGAGAGAGUUGAGGACGCUCUGAGAAUUGCUCUCUUUUUUUAAUAACGGGUAAAGGACUGGAAUAUAAAGCCCUCGGAUUUUCCAGAAUGUAAGAAGAUAAGCAUCACUCGGCUUUGAUGAGUGCCUUUCUCGGGAGCCAGCUGCCAGAAAACUUAUGCGCCCACUGAAAGGCUGCCGGACCCCACUCCGGGCACAGAGAAGGCAGGAGACAGAUGUCUUGUUUAGGACGGAGCCUGGAACGCUUGCCAUACUUCAGCAGGAAGACCUCUGAAGCCGCUUCCCAGAAUGUGAAGUUUUCAAGCAAACUUCAUUUCAGUGAUGUUAUCAUUGGGAGAGUUGCACUUUUAUUCUGUUUUCAGUAAUGCAGACUGUACUCACGCCAGUGAUGGAAAAAGGCUUUCUUUUUAAAGAUUAGACUGUUGAGCCUAUGUCAAUACCGCUAUUUUAUUAUCUGGUAAAUAUGAGACCAGG